rnacentral:lncRNA from 1 species
UGGAGAAAGUGAUUGCUUCUUCUGAUUUUUACCUUUUGGCUGAUUCUCCGAAUCCUAUCCCAUCAUGCCCCCCAAUGAUGGUGUUGAUUAUGCCAAUCGCAGGUUGGCUUUCCAAUGGCUACUCUUGCCAUGACUGCUCCAAAUGAUGAGGUGCUCUUGGUGGCUCCGCAGGUUCUUUCCUUAUGCAGUAGAUGGAAUAGUCUAGUCGGCCCCCCAAUAAGCUCCUCGAUCUCAUCUUAGAGUUGGA